GAUGCCAUAGGGGGAGAACAGACCAGACCCCAAAGUCCGUGCCGUAUGUGGAAAGGGGACAGAUCUCCCUGAAUUCCAUCCUGAUGUGCCAACUAAGACCCGGAUGUCAGCCUCCUCCCUCUUGGAAGGAAAAAAGUUUCUAGUUGACUAUUAUGUCACCUUUAGCCAAUCAUACCUCUCAAUACCCCUCUAAGAUAGUUUGCCCACUCCUCCCCCUCCUAACCCCUUAUAAGCCCCCCACCUCCCUAACCGGAUGUGACUUCUCUGGCCUCUGACAAGAAGGCCACAGAACCUCACCCAGGGGUAUUUAAAUAAAUUACCUGGCCCUUUGUUGCCUCUCUCUGCCUGCUUAUUUCGGCUAAAAUUUAUCUUACAUAUGGUGCCGAAACCCGGGAGGAGUGUGAGCGCAGGGCCCCGACUGGCCACCGGCGGCCCCGCCCCCUCCUUCCCCGACCUGGGACCUCAGCCUGCUCUCCGCUGCGUGGACUAUUUUCCGAAAUAUCAGAAUUUCCUUAUGUCAACUGUCUUGCAGUAAGCUCUCAUCAGAUCUUUAACCAUUGUCAUUUGUUCCUCCAACAGCAGCUAACCCAGACGACCCGAGUCGCCACCAACCAGAUGUUACUUCACCGUUACGCACCUCUUCCCACUGAACCCCCUCCUUCAGCCUAAUACCAGCCUCAAACCCCCACGACGCCCCUUGUCAGCCGGAAGUAGCCAGAUUGAGUCAUUGUCCAUUAUGACCAAAAGGCUGGAAUGUUAGGCUGAAGAAAGGAAAAACAAGGACAUGCAAACAGAACAGAGAGAUGCCAUAGGGGGAGAACAGACCAGACCCCAAAGUCCGUGCCGUAUGUGGAAAGGGGACAGCUCUCCCUGAAUUCCAUCCUGAUGUGCCAACUAAGACCUGGAUGUCAGCCUCCUCCAUUUCUAGUUGUCUAUUAUGUCACCUUUAGCUAAUCAUACCUCUCCACACCCCUCUAAGAUAGUUUGCCCACUCCUCCCCGUCCUAAUCCCUUAUAAGCCCCCCACCUCCCCAACCGGAUGUGACUUCUCUGGCCUCUGACAAGAAGGCCACAGAACCUCACCCAGGGGUAUUUAAAUAAAUUACCUGGCCCUUUGUUGCCUCUCUUUGCCUGCUUAUUUCGGCUAAAAUUUAUCUUACAGUGGGUACAUUGCAAUGCCAGGUCCCAUAGUCCCCCUUUCAAGAUGCUGCCCCUCACCCCCACCAGGCCCCUGCUUAUGGGGGAGGGGUGCUGUUUCCUCUGCCUGCAGCAUUCCCACCCACUCUGCCCGCUCUUUCAGAUCUUAGUGUCAAUGUCACUCUCUCAAGUGGCAUUUGCUGACGUCCUGUCCAUCCCCUUUGUUCUCACCUCUCACAGCAGCUGGUACUUCUCUUCAGGGAGCUCAUCAUGUUGGUAAUUGUGUGUACUAAUUACAAGUAUCUUGUACUUACCUGUUCAAUUCCUGCUUCUUCCACUGAAUUAUAAAUGCCAGGAGGGCAGGUGCCAUGCCGGUCCUCACAGUGUCAAUGACAAUAUGCCCAUUGUCUCAUAUUGUGCCUGGGAAAGGGCUGGCUCUUGACAAGAAAUUGAUGAAUGUGUGAAUGAAUAAAUUGCUCACAGAAUCUA